GUUUUCCGGAAGAAGGCGUGGGGGGUGACCCACAGGUCCACGUGACCUCCAGUCCCCCGGGAAGGUCUGAGAUGAGGUCAUGCUCGGUUUCGGAUGAGCAUCGGGUCUGAGAAGGACCUCAUUCGUGAGAAUGAGAGGCUGUAACAGAAAUGUCCCCCGCGGGGUUUGAAAACAGUCUCGAUCGGCAGUGCCUGAGUGCGAUCGCCCAAUGUAACACAAUUCAGACUAGUCUUCGGAAAAC
rfam:Necator americanus N_americanus-1.0_Cont149.75, whole genome shotgun sequence.